GCGCGAAGGAAGUAAGCGAAACGAGAGGACGAACAGGAGCAUACGGGCUCGAAGGUUUUCGCUUCGCCGCCUCGUUGAAUCAGCGACCGAGUCUCGAUAUUUAUUCGUCGAUAGCAUGUUCGAUCGUAGAAUUUCGAGAAAAGAGGUGGUGCUCGGGCUUACGGACGUGCGAACUGACAGGAGUCCAUCCCAGAUAUCCAGCAAGAAGGUUCUCGUUUUGCGGCCGGUGCCCACCUUUUUUCCUCUCUUUGCGCCAUCACCGGGGCUAUACUUACGCCGGCCGUACUCAUUAUUUCCCAUCCGUUCCUCUCUGUGAGACCUUCUUUCAUAUUUAACCCGUCCGUCGCUUCGAAGCUUUCGGCAUGUUUAAUUUAAUCGGUAUCGACGCCCUCGACCGACUGAACCGUGCGAGAGGGCUGAGAAGAAAAGGGAGAGGGUCCAGUUCCUGAAUAUAACCACCAAGUAUUCGGCUUGCAAAACGCCU
rnacentral:misc_RNA from 1 species